UAGGUUAUCCGCGGGCGGGGCUGGAGCGUGAGAAGGUCCCGGGAAGGUUAGAGUUCACAAGGGGUGGGGCUGGAGCGUGGCCGUGGUCGGAGUUAAGGAGGGGCGGGCUGGUGUGUAGGGGCCCCGGGGAGCUUAGGGGUCUGGAGGGCCCGGGUGGGUGCGUACCGGGGGAGGUCAGGGGUCGGGCGCGUCCCCCCCCCCGCCCCUCCUGGGCCUGCAUGGGGCUCCCCAGCCUGCGGGCGGCGGCCUGGGCCCUGAGGAGAGCCUGCGGACCGUGGACCCCGCGCCUGGGACCGCGCCUCCUCUGUUUGCCCCCCAUGGCAGGGAAUGGGGAGGCCCCCGUGCCCGUGGGGACCCAGCAGGAGCAGGACAGGAAGGCCCGGCGUGGCUGGCAGGGCACGGCCGGGAUCUGGGAGGAAACAGAGCGGCAGGCGAAGAAGCUCAAGAGCAGCGAGGACGGGGAGCACCGGAAGCUGCCCAAGCGGAAGGUGGUGCUGCUCGUGGCCUAUUCCGGGAAGGGCUACCACGGCAUGCAGAGGAAUGUUGGGUCCUCGAAAUUCAAGACCAUCGAAGAUGACCUGGUGUCCGCCCUGGUCCGGUCGGGUUGUAUUCCUGAGAAUCACGGGGAGGACAUGCGGAAGAUGUCCUUCCAGCGCUGCGCCCGGACGGACAAGGGUGUGUCUGCGGCCGGCCAGGUUGUGUCCCUGAAGGUGUGGCUGAUUGACGACCUUUUAGAAAAGAUUAACAGCCACCUUCCGUCUCACAUUCGGAUACUGGGACUGAAGAGGGUCACGGGCGGCUUCAACUCCAAGAACAAGUGCGACGCCAGGACCUACUUCUACAUGCUGCCCACGUUCGCCUUCGCCCACAAGGACCACGACGCGCAGGACGAGACGUACCGGCUGCAGGCGGAGACGCUGGGGCGUGUGAACCGGCUCCUGGCCUGCUACAGGGGCACCCACAACUUCCACAACUUCACCUCGCAGAAGGGGCCCCGCGAGCCCAGCGCCCGGCGCUACAUCCUCGACAUGUUCUGCGAGGAGCCCUUCGUGCGCGAAGGCAUGGAGUUUGCGGUGAUCAAGGUCAAGGGCCAGAGCUUCAUGACGCACCAGAUCAGGAAGAUGGUGGGGCUGGUGGUGGCCAUCGUCAAGGGCUACGCGCCCGAGAGCGUGCUGGAGCGCUGUUGGGGGGAGGCCAAGGUGGACGUGCCCAAGGCGCCGGGGCUCGGCCUGGUCCUGGAGCGGGUGCACUUCGAGAAGUACAACCAGCGCUUCGGCCACGACGGGCUGCACGAGCCGCUGGACUGGGCGCGGGAGGAGGCUGAGGCCGCGGCCUUCAAGGAGCAGCACAUCUACCCCACGAUCGUCAGCACCGAGCGCCACGAGAGGUCCAUGGCCCAGUGGCUGAGCACCCUGCCCGUGCACGACUUCAGCGCCACUGCCCACACGGCCGCCGGCCCGGGCACCAAGGUCCCCCGCGCCCUGGAAGGCAGUGACGGGGACGGGGGCAGUGACUGAGUUGGCCCACGACAUGCACGCCGGGACCUGCCAGCUGCUGCUGGCCGCGUGCCUCGCCCAGACGGGACAGCCCGCGCCCGGCCUCCUCACCUCAGGGUCCUGAGACCUGCAUCUUUCUGAGUUUCCGUCACGGGGAGAACCUGCUGCGAAUCUGUUUUCAGCUCACGCAUUGACUACACACAACUUAGCACAUUAAAAGAAGUCAGAAUGAAGAGUUAAGCAGUUAAAGAAUGACCAGCUCUCUGCCCCCAACAGCCCCCUUAGCAAUCCUGCAGGCAGAUCACUGAGGCAAGAGAACAUCUGAAGAGUCAGCCAGUCUGCACGCAAUGGAGAAGGACGCAGAACCCACCCUGCUGCCUCGAUGACUGCCUGAGAUUCUCCCCCCCUUUUCCCUUUAGAAACUGUCAUGGCUGAGCAGAAUCCUCGGAGUUGAUGUCUGGACGGGAGUCCACCUCCUCCCAGACUGCCGGCUUUUCUGAUUAAAGCACCUUUCCUUUCUCCUGA